UACGGGGGGGGCAAGCGUUGUUCGGAAUUACUGGGCGUAAAGGGCUCGUAGGCGGCCAACUAAGUCAGACGUGAAAUCCCCAGGCUCAACCUGGGAACUGCGUCUGAUACUGGUUGGCUUGAAUCCGGGAGAGGGAUGCAGAAUUCCAGGUGUAGCGGUGAAAUGCGUAGAUAUCUGGAGGAACACCGGUGGCGAAGGCGGCAUCCUGGACCGACACUGACGCUGAGGAGCGAAAGCCAGGGGAGCAAACGGG
rnacentral:rRNA from 1 species